AUUGAACGCUGGCGGCAUGCUUUACACAUGCAAGUCGAACGGCAGCGCGGGCUUCGGCCUGGCGGCGAGUGGCGAACGGGUGAGUAAUGCAUCGGAACGUGCCCAGUAGUGGGGUAUAGCCCGGCGAAAGCCGGAUUAAUACCGCAUACGACCUGAGGGUGAAAGCGGGGGACCGAAAGGCCUCGCGCUAUUGGAGCGGCCGAUGUCGGAUUAGCUAGUUGGUGGGGUAAAGGCUUACCAAGGCGACGAUCCGUAGCUGGUCUGAGAGGACGACCAGCCACACUGGGACUGAGACACGGCCCAGACUCCUACGGGAGGCAGCAGUGGGGAAUUUUGGACAAUGGGGGCAACCCUGAUCCAGCCAUGCCGCGUGCGGGAAGAAGGCCUUCGGGUUGUAAACCGCUUUUGUUCGGGAAGAAAUCCUCUGGGCUAAUACCCCGGGGGGAUGACGGUACCGGAAGAAUAAGCACCGGCUAACUACGUG
rnacentral:rRNA from 1 species